GGGUGGGCGUGGGUUGGGUUGGGUCGGUUUUCGCCCCAACCCUAACCCAACCCAACAUGAUCGGUUUGGUCAAAAUUUAACCCAACCCAACCCGUGUAAAGUUUGAAACCCAACCCAACCCAACCCAAUCAAGUAUCGGUCGGGUUGGAUUGGGUUGGUCGGUUUAUGACAACUUGUUAAUAAAUAUUAAAGUUAUUCAUUUUUGGGUGUAAAGCAUCACUAAUAUAGUCCCAGAGCUUCAAAAUUUACAAAACUAAUUACGUAAGCAUAGAUAAAAUUCAAUUGAGACACUAAAGAGCAAAAAUCACAACCAAUUUAGAAGUUGGUUUCUCACAAAAUUCUCUAAUAGUGGGAUGGGAUUGGAAC
rnacentral:lncRNA from 1 species